GUGGAUCAGGCAUGCAAGUCGAGCGAUCGUAGCAAUACGGGAGCGGCAAACGGGGUAGGAAUACAUCGGAACGUACCCUCUGGUCGAGGAUAGCGUCGGGAAACUGACGGUAAUACUCGAUAAAGUCGAGAGACCAAAGGUUUACUGCCGGAGGAGCGGCCGAUGCGAUAUUAGGUAGUUGGUGGGGUAAUGGCCUACCAAGCCUGAGAUGUCUAGGGGGUGUGAGAGCAUGGCCCCCACCACUGGGACUGAGAAACUGCCCAGACACCUACGGGUGGCUGCAGUCGAGGAUCUUCGUCAAUGGGCGAAAGCCUGAACGAGCGACGCCGCGUGCGGGAUGAAGGCCCUUGGGUUGUAAACCGCUGUCAGGGGGGAUGAAACCGCAAGGUUGACAGAGCCCCAGAGGAAGCACGGGCUAAGUUCGUGCCAGCAGCCGCGGUAAUACGAACUGUGCGAACGUUACUCGGAAUCACUGGGCUUACAGGGUGCGUAGGCGGCUUGCUAAGCAGGGUGUGAAAUCCCUC
rnacentral:rRNA from 1 species